rnacentral:rRNA from 1 species
GACGAACCGUGCGAACGUUGUUCGGAUUCACUGGGCUUAAAGGGCGCGUAGGCGGGUUGUCAAGUCAGGGGUGAAAGCCUCCAGCUCAACUGGAGAAGUGCCUUUGAUACUGAUGAUCUUGAGGGAGGUAGGGGCAUGUGGAAUUCCCGGUGUAGCGGUGAAAUGCGCAGAUAUCGGGAAGAACACCCGUGGCGAAGGCGGCUCUCUGGGACGGUACUGACGCUGAGACGCGAAAGCGUGGGGAGCGAACAGG